AGAGGAGAGAGUCAAACACACUCGCAAGCUUGGAUAAGGACCUCAACAGGUUGGAUGAUGCCCCCUAUGUUGGAGAGGGCCAUUGACUUUACCGAGUCCACUGAUUCGAAUGCUCAUCUCAUCUGGAAACACCGUCCCAGACACACCAAGAAACACUGUUUAAUCUGGGCACCCCUGGGCCCAGUCAAGUUGACACAUCAAGUUAACCGUCACACUAUCUCAUAUGUUUGCUGUAUUUCAUAUCUCAUAUUGAGCACUUAAAGCGUGCUCAAUAAAUAUCAGGUAUUAUUAUCACUGGUAAAACAAGUGGAGCUGGGAUCCAAAUCCCUAUUUCUUAUGCUCCAAAUUUUGUGUUUUUUCUACCCCUCCACCCUGCCUCUAUAAGUGGUGCUGAUCUGUAACAAUUAUAGGCUUUUUGCUUCUCUCAUUAUCAUUGCUUUUCUCUCCUGACACAUGUUCAGCAGCAGCUUUCCAUGCAAACCCCUCAUUUGUGACAGACAUUGACAACACUCAAGGGAUCCUCCCGGCCUCAGAGAGGAGCAGUUGAGAGCUUCCAGUGCAGUAAACAAGCAGGAGGUGGGCUGACAGGGCGGGCAGCUGGUAUCUCACACAAUCGCAACAGUGAUGGGUCUGAGCUGAGCAGACUGCUCUCUAGAGAGGCUGGAAUCCCUGGGAAGUGGCAAAUGCUUGCAUGCAGUCAGGGGAUUGCACAUCGCUGCAGACAGCCUAUCUGUGCAAGUGGAUGAGAGAGGCUUUCUCUUAGGUGUCUCAAGAAGAUCUCAUCCUCAACACAAAUUAUGGCUUGAAAAUAAUAGCAACAGAACUGGUUAAAAAUGAAACUUAACACCUGGCAAGAGGUGUAUUCCUGCCAGAGGCUCUUUAAGUUGGCCUCUGCAAGUGACAUUUCUAAGUAGGAGGAUCUGUGCUUGGCAUCCUUGCAGACAGUUGAUUGCUUAAAGAGUUUCAUAUCCACUGUGACCAAAGUUCAUAGAGAAAGCUGUACCUGGUAGUUCCAUUAUUUAAAAACAAAACACUCUAUCAUCAUUUGAAAUCUUUAUUAGUCAGGAAAAGCUAGGUUAUACAGCAAUAGCAAGCAUUCCCAUAUUAGUGGCUCUUACAAUAUUUUGUUUUGUUUUUGUUUUUCAUUUGUUUUUUGAGACAGAGUUUUGCCCUUUUGCCCAGGCUGGAGUGAAGUCGUGCGAUCUCGGCUCACUGCAACCUCUGCCCCCGAGCCGCUGCCACCCAGUUCAAGCGAUUCUCUUGCCUCAGCCUCCUGAGUAGCUAGGAUUAUAGGCGCCCACCACCAUGCCCAGCUAAUUUUUUGUAUUUUUAGUAGAGAUGGGGUUUUGCCAUGUUGGCCAGGCUGUUCUCAAACUCCUGGCCUCAGGCGAUCCACCCGCCUCAGCCUCCUAAAGUGCCAGGAUUACAAGCGUGAGCCACGGCACCUGACCACAUGGUUUUAUCACUUUCAGUUGACAUAAAUCCAGUAAAUUUAUAGCUCCUCUCAUUCUUAGUAAUAUCUACUUUUUAUUGAAUAUCUACAGUGUGGUAAUCAUAAGACAAAUUUUAUACACAUACUAUCUCCUUUAACCUAACUCUGGGAAGUAGGUAUUAAUCUCUUUUUUGAAGAUGUGAAAAUCGAGACUCAAGUUCAGUGAGUAGGUGGCUGACUGGGUUCUAGAACCAAGUUUUUCUAAUGCUAACCUGUUAUUUUACUACCACGUUACGCUGUUCUCUCAAACUCUGAGAUUUUUACUUUUAAAUAUAUAUUCACUAAUGUUGUCUCUUUAAUAUUCCUAG
rnacentral:lncRNA from 10 species